UUAAACUCCCUAAACGGCCUUUCAAAAUGAUGAACUACUCAGAUGCUAUUGGGUGGCUAAAAGAACACAAUGUAAAGAAAGAAGAUGGGACUUUCUAUGAAUUUGGAGAAGAUAUCCCAGAAGCUCCUGAGAGACUGAUGACAGACACCAUUAAUGAACCAAUCUUGCUGUGUCGAAUUCCUGUGGAGAUCAAGUCUACAUGCAGCCAUGU
rnacentral:lncRNA from 1 species